rnacentral:rRNA from 1 species
GAUGAACGCUGGCGGCGUGCCUAAUACAUGCCAGUCGAGCGAACAGACGAGGAGCUUGCUCCUCUGACGUUAGCGGCGGACGGGUGAGUAACACGUGGAUAACCUACCUAUAAGACUGGGAUAACUUCGGGAAACCGGAGCUAAUACCGGAUAAUAUAUUGAACCGCAUGGUUCAAUAGUGAAAGACGGUUUUGCUGUCACUUAUAGAUGGAUCCGCGCCGCAUUAGCUAGUUGGUAAGGUAACGGCUUACCAAGGCAACGAUGCGUAGCCGACCUGAGAGGGUGAUCGGCCACACUGGAACUGAGACACGGUCCAGACUCCUACGGGAGGCAGCAGUAGGGAAUCUUCCGCAAUGGGCGAAAGCCUGACGGAGCAACGCCGCGUGAGUGAUGAAGGUCUUCGGAUCGUAAAACUCUGUUAUUAGGGAAGAACAAAUGUGUAAGUAACUAUGCACGUCUAGACGGUACCUAAUCAGAAAGCCACGGCUAACUACGUG